rnacentral:rRNA from 1 species
GAUGAACGCUGGCGGCGUGCCUAAUACAUGCAAGUCGAGCGAACAGGUGAGGAGCUUGCUCCUCUGACGUUAGCGGCGGACGGGUGAGUAACACGUGGAUAACCUACCUAUAAGACUGGGAUAACUUCGGGAAACCGGAGCUAAUACCGGAUAAUAUAUUGAACCGCAUGGUUCAAUAGUGAAAGACGGUUUUGCUGUCACUUAUAGAUGGAUCCGCGCCGCAUUAGCUAGUUGGUAGGGUAACGGCUUACCAAGGCAACGAUGCGUAGCCGACCUGAGAGGGUGAUCGGCCACACUGGAACUGAGACACGGUCCAGACUCCUACGGGAGGCAGCAGUAGGGAAUCUUCCGCAAUGGGCGAAAGCCUGACGGAGCAACGCCGCGUGAGUGAUGAAGGUCUUCGGAUCGUAAAACUCUGUUAUUAGGGAAGAACAAAUGUGUAAGUAACUAUGCACGUCUUGACGGUACCUAAUCAGAAAGCCACGGCUAACUACGUG